rnacentral:rRNA from 1 species
GUGUCCUACGGGAGGCAGCAGUGAGGAAUAUUGGUCAAUGGCCGAGAGGCUGAACCAGCCAAGUCGCGUGAGGGAUGACGGCCCUACGGGUUGUAAACCUCUUUUGUCGGGGAGCAAGACCCGCCUCGUGCAGGCGGAGCGAGAGUACCCGAAGAAAAAGCAUCGGCUAACUCCGUGCCAGCAGCCGCGGUAAUACGGAGGAUGCGAGCGUUAUCCGGAUUUAUUGGGUUUAAAGGGUGCGCAGGCGGAAGAUCAAGUCAGCGGUAAAAUUGAGAGGCUCAACCUCUUCGAGCCGUUGAAACUGG